AAUGGGAAGAUGAGCACUGUGAUCGGUUUAAAAUCUUCUUAAAUGAAUGUGCACUUGUCUUUUUCAUUGUUACUGGCAUUUGUUUAUUCAUCCUAGGUGAAAAAAUACUGAGCUUGACAGAAAGUCAGGAAUGUUCAUCAAUAAGCGAAGAGUUUCAGCUACAGAACCCGGAAUUUGAAUCAUACCAGGAUAUUAAUAGAGACUCUGUUAUAUCAUUUUACCCACCACCAUCACCUUACUCUGCUGUAGCAGCACCAGUCACUAGAAGUCCAUGUACACACAAUUCUUAUUUUCAUGCUGAAGAUCCGCCAUCAUGCUACAGUAUUUUUAAUAAUGGGUGACCUUAAGAACAGGAAGAUGCUCAUAAACGUGGGCAAUUAAUACAUUUCUCUUGGAAAAUGAUGCAUUUGAUUUCUAAUUUCAUUUAGCUGAGCUCAAAGGGGUACAAAGAGCCACUUUACCACAAGACAAUACAGCAUAUUCAAUAACAAUGGUGAGCAUGUAUCCAGAGGAUAGUGUACCUUAUCCUUCUUACACACCACCCAGCUAUGAAGAAGCUGUGUUCACAUCACUACAGAGGCACAACGUUGUGCAAGAAAAUACAUUGUGCUCAAUUUCAGUGCCUGGUAUGUUCCCAGAAGUCAGUAUACCCUACCCCUUUUAUGAGCCACCAAGCUAUGAAGAAACAGUGUCCACACCGAUACAAAGGGACAACUUUGUGCAAGAAAAUACAUCAUGCUCAGUUUCAAUGCCUAGUUUAUUCUCGGAAGACAGUGUACUCAGCCUUUUCACUUGCCACCAAGAAAUGAAGAAGUGGUUUCCAUAUCAGGGCAAAGUGCUAUCUUUAUGCAAGAAAAUAUACAUUGCUCAAUAACAACGCCAAGCAUGUUCCCAUAGGACAAUACUCUACCCCUUUUAUGCACCAUCAAACUGUGACGAAGCUGUGUCCACGUCAAUGCAGUCAACCACCACCGCACAAGAAACUACACUGUUCAAUACUAGUGCUGAGUAUGUCAGUAGAGGGUGAUGUAUUCUUCUGUCUCUUCAUCUGACCAACCACAGAAAACAACUACGUGGCUUAAAAUAAAACUGAAGUUAUUUAUUUCAAGCAUUUAAAACUGAGAGCACUACAAAAUACCAGUAAGAAUAGGAGAAUAAAAAUCUAAUCAGUAUGCUGUCGUAUCAGCAUUCAUCCUUCCAGGUAUAGCAAACAUCCCAGUAAGUUCUUUGACUAUAAACAGCUUGCAUUAAUUGUUCAGGAAAACAAAUGAAACUAACAAGUAAAUAUGAGUUAUGAGCAAAAAUGCCUUUUGUUCCGAACAACUAUCUUUUCUUCAAGCACCAGAUACUUGAUGGACAAAUUCAUUGUUCAUGCCCUGAAGCGACAAGGUCCCAGACUUAAAAAUAAAAAAAUGCCUCUUUUUUUCUCAGUGGUUUGGAAUCCUGUACAUAUAACCCUAGAUUAGUAAUAUUAUUGAGUGCGAAAAGCUUUAAAAACUUGAAUGGGCUUGCAGGUAGAACAUUCCUGACAUCUGGAAUGCUACAAAAAACAUACUGUAACCUUUUUUUUCUCUGCCCUAUGCAGAGUACCUUAUUGGAAGAAAUUAAAUCAUGGACAACAUAGUCACUGUGACAGAUGUGACAACCAAUGGCCACAAAUCAUUUUCCAGUGAUGGUGAUUUCCAUUUCUGGAAGGGCAUAUGGACAUACUAAGCAAGACCGAUAGGGGAGAGUGCCUUGUCUGACACACUUAGUUUUGGGAUAGCAUUAGAAGAAUGAUAUAUGUCUGGAGUUCAAAGCAAACAUCAAGUGUGAUAACAUUCCUUAUUUGGUAAUCUUUUUGUAUGUCUAUGGGGAAAGUUUAGUGACCACUGUACAUAAGGAACUGACUAUAACCUAUACCAGGGGUCUGCAACCUUCAGUAUCAAAAGAGCCAUUUUUGACCCCUCUCCCACCAAAUAAAAUUCAUCAAGAAUCACAAAACCUAUUUGACCCCUAAA